UUGAUGAAGCUGAUCAAAUGCUUGCUGUGGGGUUUGCCGAAGAUGUGGAGAAAAUCUUGGAUAAGCUGCCACAGAAGAGGCAAAGCAUGAUGUUCUCUGCAACAAUGCCCCCUUGGAUAAGAAGCCUUACUAAGCAGCACCUGAAGAAUCCAGUUACUAUUGACCUCGUAGGAGAAAAUGAUGAAAAGUUGGCAGAAGGAAUUUCUCUCUACUCUAUUGCAUCAGAUAAUCACAGCAAGGCAUCAAUUCUCGGGAUAUUAAUUAAAGAACAUGCUAAAGGAGGAAAGUGUAUAAUUUUUACCCAAACUAAACG
rnacentral:misc_RNA from 1 species